GCGACAUGUGUCAGGUGGGUUUAGUUCCAGCUUGGCUUUUGGUUCAUUUCAAAAAAAAAAAAAAGUAGGAAGGAAGGAUGGAGAAUGGAAAAAGGAAGCUCUGAAAUGGCAGCACGUCCUUUGAGCCGUGUGACGUGUGGCAAUCACAAGGCAGCUCAAUAAAGGACGAAUCGAAUUUGUAGGCUGAGGCUGCAGUCGCGCAUCGACUAUCAAAGCACCAAUUUUGAGUGAUCUGCUUGGUGGGCCUUCAGUUUUAUUGUCUACUCAAUUUUCGCCAGUUUCCCAUCCACUUUUGAUUAACUGCCAGGAUGGCUAAGGAAAAAUUAUGAGUUUCGCUCUUGUCGGGAAAAUAAACAAACAUAUUUUCACAGUAGAGUAUUUAUUGACAAAGAAAGCCGCC
ensembl:ncRNA lncRNA:CR45020 long non-coding RNA:CR45020